rnacentral:tRNA from 1 species
GCUCCCGUAGUGUAGUCCGGCCAAUCUUUCACAAUGAAACUGGCGACCCGGGUUCGAAUCCCGGCGGGAGCA